UCCUCGAGCCUUGUAAUGGAGGG
rnacentral:siRNA from 1 species